rnacentral:rRNA from 1 species
UACGUAGGCAGCGAGCGUUGUUCGGAGUUACUGGGCGUAAAGCGUGCGUAGGCGGUGGUCCACGUCUGGUGUGAAAUCUCCCGGCUCAACUGGGAGGGUGCGCCGGAAACUGGGCCGCUGGAGUACGGGAGAGGCAAGCGGAAUUCCAGGUGUAGCGGUGAAAUGCGUAGAUAUCUGGAGGAACACCCGUGGUGCAGACGGCUGGCUGGACCGUGACUGACGCUGAGGCACGAAAGCGUGGGGAGCAAACAGG